AUCGCUUCUCGGCCUUUUGGCUAAGAUCAAGUGUAGUAUCUGUUCUUAUCGCUUCUCGGCCUUUUGGCUAAGAUCAAGAGGGUGAGACAGCGAUCGACUCCUGAGUGUUACACGACUUUUACCGUUGUGGUACUGGUCAUAAGCACUUAGGAGAUAUUGCACUCGUUCUAUUGUUGGGUAUUGAGU